GCCGGGUGUGCUGAUGAUGGGGGAAGAA
rnacentral:sRNA from 1 species